rnacentral:rRNA from 1 species
UACAGAGGUGGCAAGCGUUGUUCGGAAUUACUGGGCGUAAAGGGCGCGUAGGCGGCCUUCUAAGUCAGACGUGAAAUCCCCAGGCUUAACCUGGGAACUGCGUCUGAUACUGGAAGGCUCGAGUUCGGGAGAGGAAUGUGGAAUUCCAGGUGUAGCGGUGAAAUGCGUAGAUAUCUGGAGGAACACCGGUGGCGAAGGCGGCAUUCUGGACCGAAACUGACGCUGAGGCGCGAAAGCCAGGGGAGCAAACGGG